AUUGAACGCUAGCGGCAUGCCUAACACAUGCAAGUCGAACGGUGAAGGGGAGCUUGCUCCCCGGAUCAGUGGCGAACGGGUGAGUAACACGUGGGCAACCUGCCCCAGACUUCGGGAUAACGCUUCGAAAGAGGUGCUAAUACCGGAUACGAACUCCUUGGGCAUCCUUGGGGUCGGAAAGUUUUUCGGUCUGGGAUGGGCCCGCGGCCUAUCAGCUUGUUGGUGAGGUAACGGCUCACCAAGGCGACGACGGGUAGCCGGCCUGAGAGGGCGACCGGCCACACUGGGACUGAGACACGGCCCAGACUCCUACGGGAGGCAGCAGUGGGGAAUAUUGCGCAAUGGGCGAAAGCCUGACGCAGCAACGCCGCGUGAGGGAUGACGGCCUUCGGGUUGUAAACCUCUUUCAGCAGGGAAGAAGCGAAAGUGACGGUACCUGCAGAAGAAGCACCGGCUAACUACGUGCCAGCAGCCGCAGUAA
rnacentral:rRNA from 1 species